GAUUGGCUACAGUAAGUUCACUGUAGGAGUAGGGUAUGCACCUACAUGGAAUCUAUCGACCUUGAUAGAUGAGGAGAGAUCCUAUGUGAUUUAUUAGACUGAGUUCUAAGACCUUGGCCAGGGCAAUAAUAUACAGUGGAGAAAGAGUUUUCCACUAUCGAACUCAAGUCGUAUAAAUCUAGACAUAUGACAGAUGACGGGGUUUGA
rnacentral:lncRNA from 1 species